UACGAAGGGGGCUAGCGUUGCUCGGAAUCACUGGGCGUAAAGCGCACGUAGGCGGCUUCUUAAGUCAGGGGUGAAAUCCUGGAGCUCAACUCCAGAACUGCCUUUGAUACUGGCGAUCUCGAGUCCGGGAGAGGUGAGUGGAACUGCGAGUGUAGAGGUGAAAUUCGUAGAUAUUCGCAAGAACACCAGUGGCGAAGGCGGCUCACUGGCCCGGUACUGACGCUGAGGUGCGAAAGCGUGGGGAGCAAACAGG
rnacentral:rRNA from 1 species